rnacentral:rRNA from 1 species
GCGGCAGGCUUAACACAUGCAAGUCGAGCGCCCCGCAAGGGGAGCGGCAGACGGGUGAGUAACGCGUGGGAAUCUACCCCAUCUCUACGGAACAACUCCGGGAAACUGGAGCUAAUACCGUAUACGUCCUUCGGGAGAAAGAUUUAUCGGAGAUGGAUGAGCCCGCGUUGGAUUAGCUAGUUGGUGGGGUAAUGGCCUACCAAGGCGACGAUCCAUAGCUGGUCUGAGAGGAUGAUCAGCCACACUGGGACUGAGACACGGCCCAGACUCUACGGGAGGCAGCAGUGGGGAAUAUUGGACAAUGGGCGCAAGCCUGAUCCAGCCAUGCCGCGUGAGUGAUGAAGGCCCUAGGGUUGUAAAGCUCUUUCAACGGUGAAGAUAAUGACGGUAACCGUAGAAGAAGCCCCGGCUAACUUCGUGCCAGCAGCCGCGGUAAUACCGAAGGGGGCUAGCGUUGUUCGGAAUUACUGGGCGUAAAGCGCACGUAAGCGGAUACUUAAGUCAGGGGUGAAAUCCCGGGGCUCAACCCCGGAACUGCCUUUGAUACUGGGUAUCUCGAGUCCGGAAGAGGUGAGUGGAAUUCCGAGUGUAGAGGUGAAAUUCGUA